rnacentral:pre_miRNA from 1 species
UGCCUUAGGGCCUGACCCAAAGCUCACUGAAGUCAAUGGGAGUCUUUUCAUUGACAUCAAUGGAUUUUGGAUCAGGCCCUUAACUA